rnacentral:lncRNA from 1 species
UAAUGAGCGAUGUGGUUGAACUAUGCACUAUGCGAUAGAAAAUAUCAAGGUUUUAAGUGCCCGUCGGCACGAGCCGUAUCCACCGUGCCAACAAAAUACUGACACGAUAUAGACCUUGUACCGAUGGUACAGCUCAAAACUCUCUAUUCUUUAAAUUAGUAAGUAAUUUUUUCAAUAAAGUUCAAAAAAUGUGAUAAAGACUUAAUAAAUAGUUAGAAUAUUCUGUUGUUAAAUAAAAUAAAUUAAUAUUCCAUGCUAUUAUAUAUCGGCGCACAAGAUUUUUUUGGUCGGCACGCAUCGACACGACUCGGCACGUAUCGCGCGGUACCGUGCCGGCAAGUUUCCGGCACGAUUCCGUGCUACGGUAUUAAAAUCCUUGGAAAAUAUUGUCACUAAAUUUAUGGUAUAUACAAGUUGGUGUCGACAAUAAUUUAUUCUAUAAUAGUAAAUAUAUAUAGAAACUAAGGUGAAACUUUUUUAAGAAUUUAGAAACCGCUAACGUCAAAAUUGAAAGUUUGAGGGCCAAAACAAAAUAGCUGAUAGUUGGCAUCUAGUGGUGCAAUUUACCCCAGCCAAUAUAUGGAGGGAAAACUCUACCCAUACACGCCAUUACUGGGGUGUAUGAAUAGUAUUGCACUAAAUUUUUUGCUUUUUGAAAAAUAAGUUAUUUUAAGGGCUUUUUUUGCAUUUAGCCUCCUGGUAAAUUUUUAUUUUAAAAUUAGUCCUGUCAAAAUUUAAUAUGCAAAAAUGGCCCUGGGCCUGCAAUGCAGGCGCCACGUCAGCGCCACGCGGGCAGGGUCAGGGCCCGUGUGUUAAGUUUAACACGGUGAAUUAUUUACCGUGUUCAAAUAUGGUGAAUGGUUCACCGUAUUUAGUACGUAUUUUUGUUCAUUGAAAAGAGGAAUACGGAGUAGGGAUGUCAAUAGGUAUGGAUAUCCGAAAUAUUAUCCGAAUCCAAACCCGAAUAAAUUAGAGUUUUGCUAGAAUACUAUGGGUAGUAAACGGCUCGGUUUACUACCGAUUUAUUUUCGAUGAUAGAGCUUCCAAAUUGAUGAUCGGCAUCGUUAAACAUGAUUUAAACUAUUUAAAUUAUUUGGGAAUCAAAUUUCACACAUUUUCGAUAUUGUUCUCUUGUCCAUCAAGUGAACAGAAAAAUGAAUGGCCGGAAAUAAAUAUCCUUCAAAAAGUGAUGAUACAAUUUUUAUAUUUGAGAUCUAGAGUCUAGAUCUUAUUUUAAAUAAUUUAAAAAAAAUUUUAACAAAAAUUUAGUUAAUUUGAACUCUUCUAUACCGUUAAACGAGCAAACGCACCAUAUCGGCCAUUAAAAUUAUAGAUUUUGUGACCUUUUAAUCGUUCAGUUAGUGAUACCAAAAAAUCAUGAAAUUUGAUUUCUAGAUAAUUUAAAUGGUCUACAUCAUGUUCAACGGUGUCGAUCGCCGAUUUGGAAGCUUUAUUAUCAAAAACAAAUCGGUAGUAAACCGAGCAGUUUACUACCGAUAGUAGCCCAGUCAAACUCAAUAAAUUAUAUAUAUAUACAUAAUUUAUUUUUAUUUAUUUAUACAAUAUAUAAAAUAUUUAAUAAUUUUUAUUUCUUAGAUCUUCAUCCAACGGUAUAGAUUUUUAAAACCCACUAGGUUUAGGUUCGGGUUUCACGUUUUUGGUCGGAUAUGGAUAUGGAUAUGAAUUUUUAAAAUCCGUCGGGUUCAGAUCCGAGUUUGGAUUUUAAUUUGAUUUUCGGGUUCGGGUUAGGAUUUUUGAAAAUGAGAAGAAAAGGAAUACAAAUUUCCUAUUCCUCUUUUCAAUAUACAAAAAAUACGUACUAAAUAUGGUGAACCAUUCACCGUGUUUAACUUAACUACCGCCCCAGCCCCGCCUGCGUGGCGCUGAGGUGGCGCCUGCGUGGCAGGUUUAGGGUCAUUUUUACAAAUUAAAUUUUGACAGAGCUAUUUUUAAAAUAAAAAUUUGCCAGGGGGCUAAAUGCAAAAAAAAACCCUUAUUUUAAUAAAAAUAUUUAGAAUUUUAUCAAUAUUUUUUAUUCUUUUAUU